rnacentral:rRNA from 1 species
CCUACGGGAGGCAGCAGUGGGGAAUCUUGCGCAAUGGGCGAAAGCCUGACGCAGCCAUGCCGCGUGAAUGAUGAAGGUCUUAGGAUUGUAAAAUUCUUUCACCGGGGACGAUAAUGACGGUACCCGGAGAAGAAGCCCCGGCUAACUUCGUGCCAGCAGCCGCGGUAAUACGAAGGGGGCUAGCGUUGCUCGGAAUUACUGGGCGUAAAGGGAGCGUAGGCGGAUAGUUUAGUCAGAGGUGAAAGCCCAGGGCUCAACCUUGGAAUUGCCUUUGAUACUGGCUAUCUUGAGUACGGAAGAGGUAUGUGGAACUCCGAGUGUAGAGGUGAAAUUCGUAGAUAUUCGGAAGAACACCAGUGGCGAAGGCGACAUACUGGUCCGUUACUGACGCUGAGGCUCGAAAGCGUGGGGAGCAAACAGGAUUAGAUACCCUGGUAGUCCACGCUGUAAACGAUGAGUGCUAGUUGUCGGCAUGCAUGCAUGUCGGUGACGCAGCUACGACAUAAGACACUCCGCCGUCGGGAGGUACGGUCGCGAAGAAUUAAACGUUAAAAGUAAGUUAGACGGCGUGAGACGUGACCGACGACGACGACGAGGGAGGUAGG